AGCAGUAGCCGCGGGAAUACGAAGGGGGCUAGCGUUGCUCGGAAUUACUGGGCGUAAAGCGCACGUAGGCGGAUAUUUAAGUCAGGGGUGAAAUCCCAGAGCUCAACUCUGGAACUGCCUUUGAUACUGGGUAUCUUGAGUAUGGAAGAGGUUAGUGGAAUUGCGAGUGUAGAGGUGAAAUUCGUAGAUAUUCGCAGGAACACCAGUGGCGAAGGCGGCUAACUGGUCCAUAACUGACGCUGAGGUGCGAAAGCGUGGGGAGUAAACAGGAUUAGAGACCCCGGUAGUCCCUGUCUCUUAUAC
rnacentral:rRNA from 1 species